rnacentral:tRNA from 1 species
AGGGAUAUAGUUUAGCGGCAAAACACCGGUCUCCAAAAUCGGUAACCGAGGGUUCGAGUCCUUCUAUCCCUG